AAACCAUGUAUAGGAACUUCUGUAACAAAUCUUUAAAUCUUUUCAUGCUUCAUACAAGCUUUCAUCAUCCAUAUGCUUAAAUGAAGUCAAAUUAUUUCGAAGCUU